CUACGGGUUGCUCCAGUGGGGAAUAUUGCGCAAUGGGCGAAAGCCUGACGCAGCGACGCCGCGUGAGGGACGAAGGUCUUCGGAUUGUAAACCUCUUUCAGCAGGGACGAAGCGAAAGUGACUGUACCUGCAGAAGAAGCACCGGCUAACUACGUGCCAGCAGCCGCGGUAAUACGUAGGGUGCAAGCGUUGUCCGGAUUUAUUGGGCGUAAAGAGCUCGUAGGCGGUUUGUCGCGUCGGAUGUGAAAACCCAAUGGCUUAACCUUGGGCCUGCAUUCGAUACGGGCAAACUAGAGUGUGGUAGGGGAGACUGGAACUCCUGGUGUAGCGGUGGAAUGCGCAGAUAUCAGGAAGAACACCGAUGGCGAAGGCAGGUCUCUGGGCCAUAACUGACGCUGAGGAGCGAAAGCGUGGGGAGCGAACAGGAUUAGAUACCCGUGUAGUC
rnacentral:rRNA from 1 species